CGAUGUGCACGGGCGUUGGACUUGGUGAGCUGCGCGGCGGUUGGGAUGCCCUGGUUGCUCAAGGGAGACACCGGUGAUCGAGUGAUCAUGGGCCGGGACAUGCUGGAGCGAUGAUCCUGUGGAACGCGGCACAAAGGGGAGAAAACGUAAACGCGGCUAUCUGGCACCAAUGCAGUGGAAUAUUCAUCAGAAGUGACAAGCAUCAGAGAGAGAGAGUGUCGCAUGCCUUCCUGUUCCUGUACCACCCUCCAACCCCAGAGCCGCAGACUCAAGGCAGUUUCCAGAAUCAAACAAUUUCACGCAGCUAUUGGAGGAGGAAAUGAACUGAGCCCAGAGCAAUAAUAAAAUUAUACAAAUGUUA